UACGGGGGGGGCAAGCGUUGUUCGGAAUUACUGGGCGUAAAGGGCGCGUAGGCGGCCUGUUAAGUCGAACGUGAAAUCCCCGGGCUCAACCCGGGAACUGCGUCCGAUACUGGCAGGCUUGAAUCCGGGAGAGGGAUGCGGAAUUCCAGGUGUAGCGGUGAAAUGCGUAGAUAUCUGGAGGAAUACCGGUGGCGAAGGCGGCAUCCUGGACCGACAUUGACGCUGAUGAGCGAAAGCUAGGGGAGCAAACGGG
rnacentral:rRNA from 1 species